ACCCAUCAUUACAAGUGACCCCGGUCUAACCACCGGGAUGUUCAUAACCCUUUGUUGUCGCUCUCUGUUGCCUCCGGGGCGACCCUGCCUUCGGGCGGGGGCUCCGGGUGGACACUUCAAACUCUUGCGUAACUUUGCAGUCUGAGUAAACUUAAUUAAUAAAUUAAAACUUUUAACAACGGAUCUCUUGGUUCUGGCAUCGAUGAAGAAGCGAGCGAAAUGCGAUAAGUAAUGUGAAUUGCAGAAUUCAGUGAAUCAUCGAAUCUUUGUUGCCACAUUGCGCGCGCUGGUAUUCCGGGGGGCAUCGGUGUUCCACCGUCAUUUCACCACUCAAGCCUCGCUUGGUAUUGGGCAACGCGGUCCGCGCCGUGCCUCAAAUCGACCGGCUGGGUCUUCUGUCCCCUAAGCGUUGUGGAAACUAUUCGCUAAAGGGUGCUCGGGAGGCUACGCCGUUACGCAAACCCAUUUCUAUCGUUGACCUCGGAUCAGGUAGGGAUACCCGCUGAACUUAA
rnacentral:rRNA from 1 species